UACGGAGGAUCCAAGCGUUAUCCGGAUUUAUUGGGUUUAAAGGGUGCGUAGGCGGCCAAUUAAGUCAGGGGUGAAAGACGGUAGCUCAACUAUCGCAGUGCCCUUGAUACUGAUGGGCUUGAAUGGACUAGAGGUAGGCGGAAUGUGACAAGUAGCGGUGAAAUGCGUAGAUAUGUCACAGAACACCGAUUGCGAAGGCAGCUUACUAUGGUCCGAUCGACACUGAGGCACGAAAGCGUGGGGAUCAAACAGG
rnacentral:rRNA from 1 species